rnacentral:rRNA from 1 species
UACGUAGGGGCAAGCGUUGUCCGGAUUUAUUGGGCGUAAAGAGCGUGUAGGCGGCCAGAAAAGUCCGCUGUGAAAACUCGAGGCUCAACUUCGAGCUGUCGGUGGAAACCUUCUGGCUAGAGUCCGGAAGAGGAGAAUGGAAUUCCUGGUGUAGCGGUGAAAUGCGCAGAUAUCAGGAAGAACACCCGUGGCGAAGGCGGUUCUCUGGGACGGUACUGACGCUGAGACGCGAAGGCGUGGGGAGCGAACAGG